rnacentral:sRNA from 1 species
UAAGGGAUAAGAUAGAACAAAAUCCUUUUGAACUCUGUGCUUUUUUGCAUAACUUGGUCUAAAGAAAAAUAAAGGUUUUAACAUCUUCCUUAUCUAUGUGUUUUUGUCAUUUUCAUAGGCAAACAACAAUAAGCAGUGGCUAGAAAUUGAUCUACUCAAGAUCAAGAAGAUAACAGCAAUCAUAACACAGGGCUGCAAGUCUCUGUCCUCUGAAAUGUAUGUAAAGAGCUAUACCAUCCACUACAGUGACCAGGGAGUGGAAUGGAAACCAUACAGGCUGAAAUCCUCCAUGGUGGACAAGAUUUUUGAAGGAAAUACUAAUACCAAAGGACAUGUGAAGAACUUUUUCAACCCCCCAAUCAUUUCCAGGUUUAUCCGUGUCAUUCCUAAAACAUGGAAUCAAAGUAUUGCACUUCGCCUGGAACUCUUUGGCUGUGAUAUUUACUAGAAUUGAAUAUUCAAAAACCCCUGGAAGAGACUCUUUAAGACCUUAAACCAUUUAGAAUGGGCAAUGUAUUUUAUGCUGUGUUAAAUGUUAACAGUUUUCCACUAUUUCUCUUUUUUUUCUAUUAGUGAAUAAAAUUUUAUACAAGAA